rnacentral:rRNA from 1 species
GUGGGGAAUCUUGCGCAAUGGGCGAAAGCCUGACGCAGCCAUGCCGCGUGAAUGAUGAAGGUCUUAGGAUUGUAAAAUUCUUUCACCUGGGACGAUAAUGACGGUACCCGGAGAAGAAGCUCCGGCUAACUUCGUGCCAGCAGCCGCGGUAAUACGAAGGGGGCUAGCGUUGCUCGGAAUUACUGGGCGUAAAGGGCGCGUAGGCGGACAGCUUAGUCAGAGGUGAAAGCCCAGGGCUCAACCUUGGAAUUGCCUUUGAUACUGGCUGUCUUGAGUUUGGGAGAGGUGAGUGGAACUCCGAGUGUAGAGGUGAAAUUCGUAGAUAUUCGGAAGAACACCAGUGGCGAAGGCGACUCACUGGCCCGUUACUGACGCUGAGGCGCGAAAGCGUGGGGAGCAAACAGGAUUAGAUACCCGUGUAGUCC